rnacentral:rRNA from 1 species
CAGGCUUAACACAUGCAAGUCGAGGGGCAGCAUGGUCUUAGCUUGCUAAGGCCGAUGGCGACCGGCGCACGGGUGAGUAACACGUAUCCAACCUGCCGUCUACUCUUGGACAGCCUUCUGAAAGGAAGAUUAAUACAAGAUGGCAUCAUGAGUCCGCAUGUUCACAUGAUUAAAGGUAUUCCGGUAGACGAUGGGGAUGCGUUCCAUUAGAUAGUAGGCGGGGUAACGGCCCACCUAGUCUUCGAUGGAUAGGGGUUCUGAGAGGAAGGUCCCCCACAUUGGAACUGAGACACGGUCCAAACUCCUACGGGAGGCAGCAGUGAGGAAUAUUGGUCAAUGGGCGAGAGCCUGAACCAGCCAAGUAGCGUGAAGGAUGACUGCCCUAUGGGUUGUAAACUUCUUUUAUAAAGGAAUAAAGUCGGGUAUGGAUACCCGUUUGCAUGUACUUUAUGAAUAAGGAUCGGCUAACUCCGUGCCAGCAGCCGCGGUAAUACGGAGGAUCCGAGCGUUAUCCGGAUUUAUUGGGUUUAAAGGGAGCGUAGAUGGAUGUUUAAGUCAGUUGUGAAAGUUUGCGGCUCAACCGUAAAAUUGCAGUUGAUACUGGAUAUCUUGAGUGCAGUUGAGGCAGGCGGAAUUCGUGGUGUAGCGGUGAAAUGCUUAGAUAUCACGAAGAACUCCGAUUGCGAAGGCAGCCUGCUAAGCUGCAACUGACAUUGAGGCUCGAAAGUGUGGGUAUCAAACAGGAUUAGAUACCCUGGUAGUCCACACGGUAAACGAUGAAUACUCGCUGUUUGCGAUAUACUGCAAGCGGCCAAGCGAAAGCGUUAAGUAUUCCACCUGGGGAGUACGCCGGCAACGGUGAAACUCAAAGGAAUUGACGGGGGCCCGCACAAGCGGAGGAACAUGUGGUUUAAUUCGAUGAUACGCGAGGAACCUUACCCGGGCUUAAAUUGCAGAUGAAUUACGGUGAAAGCCGUAAGCCGCAAGGCAUCUGUGAAGGUGCUGCAUGGUUGUCGUCAGCUCGUGCCGUGAGGUGUCGGCUUAAGUGCCAUAACGAGCGCAACCCUUGUUGUCAGUUACUAACAGGUUCCGCUGAGGACUCUGACAAGACUGCCAUCGUAAGAUGUGAGGAAGGUGGGGAUGACGUCAAAUCAGCACGGCCCUUACGUCCGGGGCUACACACGUGUUACAAUGGGGGGUACAGAGGGCCGCUACCACGCGAGUGGAUGCCAAUCCCCAAAACCUCUCUCAGUUCGGACUGGAGUCUGCAACCCGACUCCACGAAGCUGGAUUCGCUAGUAAUCGCGCAUCAGCCACGGCGCGGUGAAUACGUUCCCGGGCCUUGUACACACCGCCCGUCAAGCCAUGGGAGCCGGGGGUACCUGGAGUGCGUAACCGCGAGGAGCGCCCUAGGGUAAAACUGGUGACUGGGGCUAAGUC